AGUGAACGCUGGCGGUAGGCCUAACACAUGCAAGUCGAACGGCAGCACAGUAAGAGCUUGCUCUUACGGGUGGCGAGUGGCGGACGGGUGAGGAAUACAUCGGAAUCUACUUUUUCGUGGGGGAUAACGUAGGGAAACUUACGCUAAUACCGCAUACGACCUACGGGUGAAAGCAGGGGAUCUUCGGACCUUGCGCGAUUGAAUGAGCCGAUGUCGGAUUAGCUAGUUGGCGGGGUAAAGGCCCACCAAGGCGACGAUCCGUAGCUGGUCUGAGAGGAUGAUCAGCCACACUGGAACUGAGACACGGUCCAGACUCCUACGGGAGGCAGCAGUGGGGAAUAUUCGACAAUGGGCGCAGGCCUGAUCCAGCCAUACCGCGUGGGUGAAGAAGGCCUUCGGGUUGUAAAGCCCUUUUGUUGGGAAAGAAAAGCAGCAGGUUAAUACCCCGCUGUUCUGACGGUACCCAAAGAAUAAGCACCGGCUAACUUCGUG
rnacentral:rRNA from 1 species